rnacentral:snRNA from 1 species
CUUGUAUUCUUUGUAAUUUCUGU